rnacentral:rRNA from 1 species
GACGAACGCUGGCGGCGUGCUUAACACAUGCAAGUCGAACGGAAAGGCCCUGCUUGCCGGGUACUCGAGUGGCGAACGGAUGAGUAACACGUGGGUGAUCUGCCCUGCACUUCGGGAUAAGCCUGGGAAACUGGGUCUAAUACCGGAUAGGAGCCAUUUUUAGUGUGAUGGUUGGAAAGUUUUUUCGGUGUAGGAUGAGCUCGCGGCCUAUCAGCUUGUUGGUGGGGUAAUGGCCUACCAAGGCGGCGACGGGUAGCCGGCCUGAGAGGGUGGACGGCCACAUUGGGACUGAGAUACGGCCCAGACUCCUACGGGAGGCAGCAGUGGGGAAUAUUGCACAAUGGGCGCAAGCCUGAUGCAGCGACGCCGCGUGGGGGAUGACGGCCUUCGGGUUGUAAACUCCUUUCGCUAGGGACGAAGCUUUUUGUGACGGUACCUAGAUAAGAAGCACCGGCUAACUACGUG